CCACUUGUUAAANUGGAGGAAGNAGGGGGCAAACGGUAGGUCAGNNAUGCCCNGANUCUCCCGGGCUNCACNNCCGUUACAAAGGGNCAGGACAAUGGGCUUUGGACACCGAAAGGNGGAGGCCAAUCCNUAAACCUGCUCCGUAAUUCGGAUUGAGGGGCUGCAAUUCGCCCUCAUGAAGNUGGAAUACGUAGUAAUCGGGGGUCAACAUCCCGCGGUGAAUAUGCCCUUGCUCNUUGCACACACCGCCCGUCAAACCNCCUUAGUUGGGUCUGGACGAGGGUUUGUCUUCUGACACGCUCGAAUCUGGGUUCAGCGAGGAGGGUUAAGUCGUAACAAGGUA
rnacentral:rRNA from 1 species